UGACUUGGGAUACACAUGAUGGAUGGA
rnacentral:piRNA from 1 species